CGGGCCCCGCGCAAUGCGUCACUCCGAACCGUGUCAGGAUGGGAACAUAGCAGCACUAAGGAGUCCCUCGUAUGUGCCGCGGAU
rnacentral:SRP_RNA from 1 species